AUUCUAUAAUUGUUUUAUUUUAUUGUUGGUCAAUAUUACAACACAUGUGUACAUUAUAUUGUCAGAAGAAUAACAAAAAAUUGCAGAACAAACUUAAAUCCCAAAUGUAAUGGACAGAAAUAUUUCUAAACAUAAAAAAAAUUUUAAACAUAAAAUCACAUACGAAACAUAGAUAUGUAUCAUUGUUUUUAUAGAUUUAAUACAACGGAAAUACAUUAUGUGGCUAAAAUAUUAAUUUCCAAUAACAUCCCUGUACUAACAGCAUUAUGAACCUUGAACUGAUCAAGGUUCGACUCUAAUUUGAAACAAGGAUACCAAGAUCUGCUUUUAAUGAUUUCUAGUCUUAUUUGUCUGAAGAGUUCCACACUAGUUUAAAACAAAAAAUUAGUAACCUACAAUCUAUUUGUGAGAACCAUCAUUUUCUAAUUUUGUUGAAACAAAAGACAAGAUAUAGUGGCAGGCUUGACACACCAGAUAGUAGGACUCUGCUUAUCAUUACAAUAGUGCAUCCCUGUGUAAGUACUUACGCCUUAAAUUUUAUAGUUAAUAUGUCUGUAUUUUAUUAUAGUUUUUUUUACUUUAAAAAUAAAAAUAACGCUAAAUAUAGUAUAGGGCUAUAUUAUUAUUAUUUUUCACUUAAACGAAUAAGGCAGUGGUUCCCAAACUUUUUUGGCGCGUAGACCCCUCGUCAUGUUUUCCAGUAUUCUGUAGACCCCCUGGUUAGCUAAUAUUGCUGAAUUGUAAUUUUUCUGAUUUAUGUACUACCAAUGUGCUUUCUUUUUCCAAUCAUUCCUAACGUAUUUAAGGUGAAGAAUGAAAAAGUAAUAACAACCACAUGCAUGGGCGUUGCUAAGAAGGGGUUGGGGUAUAAAAAUCCGAAAAACCGAAAUAAAUCCUGGCUACGCCUAUGGCCACAUGUAAGUAAACUUAAAUGAAUUUAUGAAACAAGUCCUUUAAAUAAGCAAUGUCUGAUUUCAGUCUGAUUAAAUUUCAAUUUAAAAUUAGAUCUUUGACAUCCAAGAGCUCCGAUACAAAGUCAAAAAGAAAAAAAUAAAUAAAAUAAAGCUUUUCGACAGCCAUCAAACUUCAUAUUGAAGGACGAACUGAUGGCGUAUUGAACAUGUU